CUUAAGCAUAUCAAUAAGCGGAGGAAAAGAAACUAACCAGGAUUCCCUUAGUAACUGCGAGUGAACUGGGAAGAGCUCAAAUUUGUAAUCUGGCGGUCCUUGACCGUCCGAGUUGUAAUCUAGAGAAGUGCUUACCUGCACUGGACCAUGUACAAGUCUCCUGGAAUGGAGCGUCGCAGAGGGUGAGAAUCCCGUCUUUGACAUGGACUGCCAGGGCUCCACGGGUGCGCUCUCAAAGAGUCGAGUUGUUUGGGAAUGCAGCUCAAAAUGGGUGGUAAAUGCCAUCUAAAGCUAAAUAUUGGCGAGAGACCGAUAGCGAACAAGUACCGUGAGGGAAAGAUGAAAAGAACUUUGGAAAGAGAGUUAAACAGUACGUGAAAUUGCUGAAAGGGAAACGCUUGAAGUCAGUCGCGUCGCCUGGAAAUCAACCUCGCUCUUGCAGGGUGUACUUUCCAGCCCGACGGGUCAGCAUCAGUUUUGGCUGCCGGACAAGGUCUUUGGAAAUGUGGCAUCUCAGGAUGUGUUAUAGCCCUUGGACGGAUGCGGUGGCCGGAACUGAGGAACUCAGCACGCCUGUGAGGCUGGGGCGCUUCGUCGUCCACACCCAACGUGCUUAGGAUGCUGGCAUAAUGGCUUCAAUCGACCCGUCUUGAAACACGGACCAAGGAGUCUAACAUGCCUGCGAGUGUUUGGGUGGAAAACCCAUGCGCGCAAUGAAAGUGAAGGUUGAGAUCCCUGUCGUGGGGAGCAUCGAUGCCCAGACCAGACCUUCUGUGACGGCUCUGCGGUAGAGCAUGCAUGUUGGGACCCGAAAGAUGGUGAACUAUGCCUGAAUAGGGUGAAGCCAGAGGAAACUCUGGUGGAGGCUCGUAGCGAUUCUGACGUGCAAAUCGAUCGUCAAAUUUGGGUAUAGGGGCGAAAGACUAAUCGAACCAUCUAGUAGCUGGUUCCUGCCGAAGUUUCCCUCAGGAUAGCAGAAACUCGUAUCAGAUUUAUGUGGUAAAGCGAAUGAUUAGAGGCCUUGGGGUUGAAACAACCUUAACCUAUUCUCAAACUUUAAAUAUGUAAGAACAAGCCGUCUCUUGACUGGACCGCUUGGCGAUUGAGAGUUUCUAGUGGGCCAUUUUUGGUAAGCAGAACUGGCGAUGCGGGAUGAACCGAACGCGAGGUUAAGGUGCCGGAAUUCACGCUCAUCAGACACCACAAAAGGUGUUAGUUCAUCCAGACAGCAGGACGGUGGCCAUGGAAGUCGGAAUCCGCUAAGGAGUGUGUAACAACUCACCUGCCGAAUGAACUAGCCCUGAAAAUGGAUGGCGCUUAAGCGUGAUACCCAUACCUCGCCGUCGGUGUUGAAGUGACGCACCGACGAGUAGGCAGGCGUGGAGGUCCGUGAGGAAGCCUUGGCAGCGAUGCUGGGUGAAACGGCCUCUAGUGCAGAUCUU
rnacentral:rRNA from 1 species